GGAUAAAUUCAUGAAGGAUGUGGUGAAAUAUUCCACCAGAGCAUCCGCCAUUUGAGCCCCUUUGGUGGACAGGCCUGGAACAACAAACUUCAGCAUCCUUCCGAAGCAGAACAUGAACUGACGAGGCAUACAUCAACAAAAUCUCUGUCAAUAACUUCAAAAUAAACACAACUUUCGCCAGUGUUGCAGAAGCUUCCUGGCUAUUUG
rnacentral:misc_RNA from 1 species